rnacentral:lncRNA from 1 species
UGCUUGCUUGCCUUCCGCACAGCUACCGUCUCCCGCUCCAUUAAAACUGUACAUGCGGGCGUAAGCUUUCACAACAUGCACAUUUUCACUCCAAACAGAGAGCGUAUGUCAAGGAGUAAGAAUGAAAUCCUUAAAAUCGGUGAAUGUACUGCCUGAGUUGGACAGACCCCAUUGUUUCAGUUCUUGCAAGGAGUGCUCUGCUCAGACCCAAUUGGAUGGUUUGUUGAGGUUGGGCUCGAGGACCCAAUACAUGGUUGUUGCCAAUAUUGCAUGUUUUCACCAAUUGUGUUGCUUUGAGAAGUUGACAAAGUGGAAGUAAUAAAUGGUGUGCAUGAAAAAUGAAAUGAGGCAAGUCUUCAUACUGGUAUGUUUGGCAAAGUAUAAUUGUUUUUAGCCAUUAAGAUUGGGAUUUUGUGGACCCUAAUUCGUUUAGUAUUUUUUUUGUUGUUUUUGUAGAAUGGUGGUUGUUCGAGUUGACUGUGAAGGCAAGAAAAAUCACAGAGUUAGUGAACAAGAAUAUUGACAACCUUUUCAGUUCUUUUUAAAAUCAAAAUUUGUUUUUACUUUGCUGACUCUCAGAAUUAUUUGUAGCAUCGUCUGUUGGACAUUUGACUAUAAAUGUAAGUAUAUUGCAUCAAAAGACAGAUUUGGUGCAAGAAAAGAUGUUUCUGAGAGAAUUUGAUUCUAUGUGAGAAAAUCAAUGCACAUCCUGUAGUCAUCACUUAAAUUGUGCAUUAACAUUAGUUUUUCUACUUUUUAUGAAGUUCUUCAAGUUCUUAUGUGAAGAAGAUGUAGAAACCAGAAUAUUAUUGUCCUUUUUGAGGAGAGUUUUGUGAUUUUCAACAAGCACUCGAGUGGAUGAACCAAAAAUUAAUUUCUGAUCUUCGGGGGUUUUGUUGUGUCUUUCAUUUGGCUAAUUUGAAUUAGUCUUGCAAUUUAUGUUUUGUUUUAUUUGAUUUUUGUAUUUAUCUUACUUCUACUUUUUUAAAAUUACUCGAUGAUAUGUAUUUGCACAUUUGGUUUAAAUUCUACUUUCUGCUUUAAUCAGCUUCUGGAAUUGAUGAUAGUUUUACAAGAACAAGCAUUUGCUAAAGUGUC